UCUGUGUGUGCAGAUACUGUGUGUGUAGAUACCAUGCAAUCAUUGAACCACGUUUAUAAGGAAUAGAGGGUUUUUCUUUUUAACAGAUCACCAGUGAGAAUGAAGACAAGUGUGGACAAGAAAUACACUUGAGCAGAGGAAGCCUUUGCAUCUCAACACAGUACAUUCUAUUUCUUGAGUUAUAAGUGCCCAUCGUACAGACCGUUUCCUUCUACCCUUAGUGUGCCAAGGGUCAGGAUGCUUUUAGAAUGUGUUUCUUUCACAGACCAGACUCCUGGCAAUACCGAAGUCCUAUACCUGGAGUGGUGCCACCCACAUUCAGGCUGUGUCUUUUUACACUGAGCAAAGCAGUCAAGACAUUUCCCAACAGACAUUCCCACAGCCUCCCUGAGCUAGAGAGGCCCUCACUGAGAAUCACCUCUCAGGUGACUGUAAGUGAUGUCAUGUUGUCAUGUCAUUUUAACCAACCAGCACAACUGGCAUGGCCAACUCUCAUCACCUUCUAACUCCCAAAUAUUCUGUCAUCUCAGAGAGGUCCCCAGCCACUGUUCUUACCUUCAGCCUGACUGUAGCUUUAUCUGUUCCAACUCUGCAGACCUGCCAUUUCUAGGAGUGUUGUCUAGAUGGAGUCAUGCAGCUCCUGGCUUGUUGCUAAGCACAGGUGCUGGUGUAUCACACAUGUGUGUCAGUCAGAACCCUCCUCUGUCACUUUGGUUCCUUGGUGUGGCCAGGCUAUAGCUUUUCUGUUGUUGGGCCUGUGGGUGGCCUUUACUUCUCCCCAGUGCUACUCGGAGUCCUCACUGUUCUUGGCAUGUGUACUUUGAGGUAGAAUUGUGCCUGUGCACAGUAAUGGGAUUGCAGGGCACAGGAGCUAGGUGUUCUCUUUGGUGGGUUAGCAUUGUCAAUCAGAUACCUAUGAGGCAGGCUUCUGGGAACACCUUUGAGGGAUUGUCUGGGUUAAGAUUAGCCUUUGGGAAUGAAUGUCAAUAAAGGAUUGCCUGAAUUAAGUUGAAGUGGGAAGACCUGCCCACUGUGGGUGGCACCAUUCCCUAGCCAUGAUAUCCUGGAUUUUUUUUAAGGAUGGAGAAUGUGAGUGGAGCACUAGCAUGUAUGUGUUAACCCAGUGGUCUCUGCUCUGGAAUGUAGACAGAGUAUAACCAGUUUUCUUAAAUGCCUGCUUCUGUAACCGCCCUGCCAUGAUGAUAAUGACCUGGAACUGUGAGUCCAAUGCACCCUUUCUCCCUUAAGUUGCUUUCGUCCGAGAUUUUAUUACAACAACAGAAAAUAAACUAAGACAGAGACCCCCUUCUCUUUGCAGCCUGAGUGGUAGGAGGGCAGGUGUGGACGUCCCUUCCUGACUCUCUGACUGCAUGCUGAACUGGAAGGCAGCCCUAUGGCUGCCAGGACUGUGUCCCCUGGGAGGCAGGGCCUUAUUCGCUGGAUCUGCAGUGAUCGGUGGUCUCAGGCAGGCUGCUCUCUGGUCCAAAGCAUUGCAGUUGGUGGCCACACCCAGGGCUGUGGUUCCUGCCAGGUCAGACCUCCUUCUCUAUUGGGCUAUGUGUGUGUUGGGGACAGGCUGGGACAGGGUUGCCCUGGGUGGCACUGUGGGUAAGGUGUGUAGGGUCAUCCCUAAGCAUUGGACUCAUGGUGUUUGGAGAGAGUGGGCUGCAUGACAUUGUAGGUACGUCUUUUGGCUGGAAGAACCUGAGUCCUUAUGGAAGAGGCCCUUACUAUGCCAGGUUUAGCUUAUCACAAGGCCGGGGGAGUGGUACUGUGGGCCUCUCUGCAUGACAGACACUGGCCUCAAUAGGACCAGAAAGUCUGGUCAUUUGUCUAGGAAGGCGCUGGAGCCGUGGGUCAGUGGCUUCCACCUCCCAGAGCCAACUGUGUGCUUUACACGCUCUAUUCUGCAUGCCCCAUCCGUCUACCUUCCCCACCCUCUCUUGUCUUUUUGUGCCUUCUCUGCCUGUUCCUCUAGGUCGCUGUCCUUGCCUCUGUCUGCUAUUUUGUCCUUCAGUGGUUUAUUCACCACCCACCCUGUAGCACCCCUCACUCCUGUGCCUUGCCUUUCUGCUCCCGGCUGUCCUUGGUGCCUCACACCCUUCAUCUCCCUGCACUCCGUCCACCCGCUUCUGCCCUAUCUCCCUUCCCCAACCUCCCUGCUGUUCUCCCCCACUCUGGGCUAUCCCAGAGCUUCCUGCCAACCCCCGCCUCUCUGCUCCAGGCAUAAAGUCCAACAGGACACCAACAAAACCAUGGCUGCCAGCUCCAGUGCCAUGAAGCAGGCGUCAGAGCUGCGGGGCUUCUGCCUGCCAACCAGGAGGAUGAGGACCUUACCAGCCUGUACCCACUGUGGAUGGUGCAGCCCACCUGAAUCUGAGCCCUGGGACUUCUGUGGAGUCUUCCAGACAUCCAUGUCCUCAUUCUCCCUACCUCAUCUCCAUCCUCAGCAUCCCCUGCAGCCACACGCAUGGAGACCCUCGGCCCCUCCCUGUCCUCUCUGUCCUUUGGAAGGACCCCAGAAACAGCAGCUGAGCCCUCCACCUUUGAGCAACAGCUGUUGGACUUUCACAAGCGGCAGGACACCCUCCUGGCCAGCUGGUCCCAGCAACAGAGCACACGAUGGCCCAGCAAAACCAGCUGCUGUAGCAGCUGACCAAGCAAAGCCAGUGGCUGGCUGACGGCGUCAAGCUCUCAACCAAAACCCUUGAUCACUUGGUGGCAGUUUGCCUUGCCCAGGAAGCCUCAUCUGCAGUCCCAUACAACGUCCCAGGUGGUGGAACAGCACAGAGACCCAACUGAUGUCCCUGGAAUACCCACCUGUGCCUGGAGGUCUCCUCACGGAUCCUAAAGGCUAGAUCCACCUGAGAAGAGGACCCUCAAUUGAGAAUGUGCCUCCCUCUUACUGGCACACAGGUAAACCUUUCUGGAAACGCCAGAUAUUGUCCAGAGAUGUGUUUCCAUGGCAAUCCUCAUCUAGCCAAGUUGGCAAUGAGGAUGAAUAAUCAACGAGCAUCAACUUUCAACUGAACUCUGGUGUCUCUCUGCCUUAAAUAUGUCUCUUGGAAACUGCUGAAUUAUAUUAAAAAAAAAAAGCUGAUGUUCGGACUUCACUGCGGUGGUAAAUGGCAGCGCGCUCUGCUGAAGAUCCCAACAGGAAUUGGACUCCAGUCAGUCCUUCACAGACCCAGCUCAAAUCUUCUGAGUGUUCUCGUGCACUCCUUGUCAGCCACUCCGCAGACACCUACUCAUUCGGGCGGAGCACAGAGGAGGGGCUAACCCCAGGAUGCUCACUGGCAGAGAAGACUUUUUGCUGAGAUUGUCUUGGCAUCCAAUGGAUCUAUAGCCAUGGCCAUCCAGGAGCCCUGGGGCACCUGUGGUAGGGUCAAGUGUGAGAUGGAGCACGGAAGUGUGAUGCUGGUUGUUGGAGUGGUACCUAGGCACUGAUGAAUGUUCCUCUACCCCAACAGCAAGACACAGCUUGCUCUCAAAUAUCAAUGACGGUAGGUUGAUGGUACUUGAUUCUCUUGGGAGGACAACAGCCACACACUAGGGAGGGUACAGUGGGGAAGGAAGAGUCUCGAGAGUCCCAAGUGAGUGUUUGUGGUAGUUUGAAUAAGAAUCCCCACCACCACCUCUAGGCUCAUAAAUUUGAACGCAUAGGGAGUGGCACUGUUUGAAAGGAUUGGGAGGUGUGGCCUUGUUGGAGGAAGUAGUCACUGGGAGUAAGCUCGGAGGUUUUAAGAACCCAAGCCAGGCCCAGUGGCUUUCUCUUCCUGCUGAGUGUGGAUGUGAAUGUAGGACCUUCAACUCCCUCUUCAGCGCCAUGUCUGCAUGUAUGCCACCAUACUUCCUGCCAUGAUGAUAAUGGACUGAACCUCUGAAACUGUAA
rnacentral:sRNA from 1 species